rnacentral:other from 1 species
UUUCCCCUGUUGUGUUCGUGAUUGGAAGAAGUGCUUUGACCCAACAGAAAAUAUAAGGGAUUUAUCUCUAAUUUCAGUGUGCGAAUCAAUUUUUUUGAUUUACCUAAAGAAAUCACAUAAUUCCCCCUUGAACAGUGGUUCAAGGACCUUACAACACGGCACUUUGGCAGGGGAUUA